UACGUAGGGGGCAAGCGUUAUCCGGAUUCACUGGGCGUAAAGGGAGCGCAGGCGGCAUGGUAAGUCUGAUGUGAAAACCCGGGGCCCAACCCCGGGAGUGCAUUGGAAACUGCCAGGCUGGAGUGUCGGAGGGGUAAGCGGAAUUCCUAGUGUAGCGGUGAAAUGCGUAGAUAUUAGGAGGGACACCAGUGGCGAAGGCGGCUUACUGGACGACUACUGACGCUGAGGCUCGAAAGCGUGGGGAGCAAACAGG
rnacentral:rRNA from 1 species